CGGGUAGAGGAACAUGUACGCAACCUUCCUUUAACUGGGGGAUAGCCCCUCGAAAGAGGGAUUAAUACUCCGUAAGAUAAUGAUAAGGCAUCUUAUUAUUAUUAUAGCUCCGGCGGUUAAAGAUGGGCGUGCAACUGAUUAGAUAGUUGGCGGGGUAACGGCCCACCAAGUCAGCGAUCAGUAACUGGUGUGAGAGCACGACCAGUCACACGGGCACUGAGACACGGGCCCG
rnacentral:rRNA from 1 species